rnacentral:rRNA from 1 species
AAUAGAUACCCAGGUAGUCCUGGCCCUAAACGAUGUCCACUAGAUCAUGGGACCUUUGACGGGUUUCAUGGUCGAAGCAAAAGUGCUAAGUGGACCGCCUGGGAAGUACGGUCGCAAGGCUAAAACUCAAAGGAAUUGACGGGGGGCUCACACAAGCGGUGGAGCAUGUGGUUUAAUUCGAAGCAACGCGCAGAACCUUACCUGGGCUUGACAUGCCAGGAUUAUCCUUGUGAAAGCAGGGUACAGCCCGCAAGGGCCGGAACUGGUACAGGUGCUGCAUGGCUGUCAUCAGCUCGUGUCGUGAGAUGUCGGGUUAAGUCCCUUAACGAGCGAAACCUUUGCCCUUAGUUACCAUCGGGUCAUGCCGGGGACUCUAAGGGGACUGCCGGUGUCAAACCGGAGGAAGGUGGAGAUGACGUCAAGUCCUCAUGGCCUUUAUGCCCAGGGCCACACACGUGCUACAAUGCGGCGCACAGAGCGAACCUAAACGCGAGUUCAUGGAAAUCGCAGAAAUCGCCGCCCAGUUCAG